GCAAAAAAGUAAUGUAUCCUUCACAUUGAUCGAUUGAAGCAUUCAAUCGUUCUUGUAUCACCAUAUCAGCAACAACUGUAUCAACCUGUUCCUCAGAAAGUUUAAAGUGUUUUGCAAGUAUAGAUGUAGAAGAAACUUCAAAAAACUCUGAAAGAAAAAGGAUAUUCGUUUCCAAAAAAUGUCGACCAUCCUCUAUCAAUCUAUUCAUAUGAAUUACUUGGUGAGGAAGUAGAAAAGGCAACAGAAAGGCUCCGUCCUCUUUUCCGAUAAACUUUCUUUUAAGGUACUUUUCGACUAGAGAAUAAAACGGGAUUUCUCGGACGGAUGGUUGGAGAGAGAUUUCUUGGAGGAACUGCAAAACAAUAGGAGAAGGAAUCGCUAGAAGUAAACAUUGAGCUACUGAACACAAGUUCUCUCUAUAAAUUAGUUCAUUUCCAGGUACUUUAUAUUGAAGUACCCGAUAGUAACAUUUCGCAGCUUCUAGGAAUUGUCCUGUUUCAUCGAGAGCGCGAGCAUUGCAAAGUUGAAGUUCC